CGGAGGGUGCGAGCGUUGUCCGGAAUCACUGGGCGUAAAGGGCGCGUAGGCGGCCUGAUAAGUAGGGGGUGAAAUCCUGCGGCUUAACCGCAGGGCCGCCUUCUAAACUGUCAGGCUCGAGCACAGUAGAGGCAGGUGGAAUUCCCGGUGUAGCGGUGGAAUGCGUAGAGAUCGGGAAGAACAUCAGUGGCGAAGGCGGCCUGCUGGGCUGUUGCUGACGCUGAGGCGCGACAGCGUGGGGAGCAAACAGGAUUAGAUACCCUGGUAGUCCACGCCGUAAACGAUGGACACUAGGCGUCGGGGGGAGCGACCCUCCCGGUGCCGUCGCUAACGCAGUAAGUGUCCCGCCUGGGGAGUACGGCCGCAAGGCUG
rnacentral:rRNA from 1 species